rnacentral:rRNA from 1 species
GACGAACGCUGGUGGCGUGCUUAACACAUGCAAGUCGAACGAAGUGGCGAACGGGUGAGUAACGCGUAAUCAACCUGCCCUUCAGAGGGGGACAACAGUUGGAAACGACUGCUAAUACCGCAUACUGAAGGAGGGGAUUGCGACUGAUUAGCUAGUUGGCGGGGUAACGGCCACCCAAGGCGAUUAUCAGUUGCCGGUCUGAAAGAAUGAACGGCCACAUUGGGACUGAGACACGGCCCAGACUCCUACGGGAGGAAGCAGUGGGGAAUCUUCCGCAAGUGACGAAGGUCUUACGGAGCAACGCAGCGUGAGUGAUGACGGCCUUCGGGUUGUAAAGCUCUGUUAAUCGGGACGCGGUACCGGAAUAGAAAGCCACGGCUAACUACGUGCCAGCAGCCGCAGUAAUAC